rnacentral:rRNA from 1 species
CGAAUGGAUUAAGAGCUUGCUCUUAUGAAGUUAGCGGCGGACGGGUGAGUAACAGGUGGGUAACCUGCCCAUAAUACUGGGAUAACUCCGGGAAACCGGGGCUAAUACCGGAUAACAUUUUGAACCGCAUGGUUCGAAAUUGAAAGGCGGCUUCAGCUGUCACUUAUGGAUGGACCCGCGUCGCAUUAGCUAGUUGGUGAGGUAACGGCUCACCAAGGCAACUAUGCGUAGCCUACCUGAGAGGGUGAUCGGCCACACUGGGACUGACACACGGCCCAUACUCCUACGGGAGGCAGCAGUAAGGAAUCUUCCGCAAUGGACGAAAGUCUAACGGAGCAACGCCGCGUGAGUGAUGAAGGCUUUCGGGUCGUAAAACUCUGUUGUUAAGGAAGAACAAGUGCUAGUUGAAUAAGCUGGCACCUUGACGGUACCUAACCAGAAUGCCACGGCUAUCUACGUACCAGCAGCCGCGGUAAUACGUAGGUGGCAAGCGUUAUCCGGAAUUAUUGGGCGUACAGCGCGCGCAUGUGGUUUCUUAAGUCUGAUGUGAAAGCCCACGGCUCACCCGUGGAGGGUCAUUGGAAAC